CAAUACUUCAUCAAAGCUACUACUUUCACUAUCAAUCAUUAUCACACUUCAAUUCUUGUUCGUCCCUUUAAUAGUUCUCGAUUCUUUUGUGGGUUUUUCGAAGAGGUUAAUAUUGUGCUUCAGCUUGCGAUUUUCGGGUCAAGAUUGGAUCAAAAGAAUAGUUUUUCGGAUCUUUUCUGGGUAAUAUUACUCUCAUUAUUUCCCUUUAAUCAAAUUGCGGGUUCGUAGAGGAACCUUUUUGACUUGAGAUUGAGGUACAUUGACUGUGUUUGCUACUAAGGGACUUGAAGAUAGUUAGCUCCAGUUGGGUUAAAGAGUGCGUUGGAUCCCUUUUGAUUUAGUAGGACUUUAAAAGACUUCCGCUGUUUUUUAUUUAUUUGACUAUAAGAUUUAUGUUCUGGUUUGUAAUAAUUAUUUUACAUUCUAUUUAGUUGGUCUUUAAUAAUUAGUUAAAACUUUUGGUUAUUGUUUUAGUUAGAACCAUUAGCCUUGCGGUUAUUAUUAAUAAUUAUCGCGGCGUAGCACCUUUGGAUUUC